GCCAGACUCCUACGGGAGGCAGCAGUGGGGGAUAUUGCACAAUGGGGGGAACUCUGAUGCAGCGACGCCGCGUGGGUGAAGGAGCGUUUCGGCGCGUAAAGCCCUAUCGGCAGGGAAGAAGGAGGACGGUACCUGACUAAGGAGCCCCGGCUAACUACGUGCCAGCAGCCGCGGUAAUACGUAGGGGGCAAGCGUUAUCCGGAUUUACUGGGUGUAAAGGGGGCGCAGACGGCAGCGCAAGCCAGGAGUGAAAGCCCGGGGCCCAACCCCGGGACUGCUCUUGGAACUGCGCGGCUGGAGUGCAGGAGGGGCAGGCGGAAUUCCUGGUGUAGCGGUGAAAUGCGUAGAUAUCAGGAGGAACACCGGUGGCGAAGGCGGCCUGCUGGACUGCGACUGACGUUGAGGCCCGAAAGCGUGGGGAGCAAACAGGAUUAGAUACCCGAGUAGCU
rnacentral:rRNA from 1 species